rnacentral:sRNA from 1 species
ACUACCACUACAAGAAGAACAACAACUACAACCAGAAGAACAACUACAACCACCACACCGACCACCACAACAACACCUAGGACUACAACAAGCACAACAAGAAGGACUACAACUACUACCACACCAAGGACUACAACUACCAGCACACCAAGGACUACAACUACCACCACACCAAGGACUACAACUACCACCACACCUAGGACCACAACCACCACUACACCUAGGACUACUACUACAAAAAGAACCACGACCACCAGAGAUUCCACAGUGUUUAGAUCAAGUGCCGCACCUUCUUUCCAGUUUUGCUUUUGUCUUUCUAAUUCUAUUUUCACAUUUUGUUUUUGUUUGCUCAUGUUGGUUUUUAUUUGAACUAAACGAACCAUUCUUUUAAACAAUAAACUUUGUGGGAAUAUGUCUAA